rnacentral:rRNA from 1 species
UACGAAGGGGGCUAGCGUUACUCGGAUUGACUGGGCGUAAAGGGCGCGUAGGCGGUUCGUACAGUCAGACGUGAAAUUCCUGGGCUCAACCUGGGGGCUGCGUUUGAUACGUGCGGGCUUGAGUUCGGAAGAGGGUCGUGGAAUUCCCAGUGUAGAGGUGAAAUUCGUAGAUAUUCGCAAGAACACCAGUGGCGAAGGCGGCUGACUGGGCCGAUACUGACGCUGAGGAGCGAAAGCGUGGGGAGCGA